UGGGGAAUAUUGGACAAUGGGCGAAAGCCUGAUCCAGCCAUGCCGCGUGUGUGAAGAAGGUCUUCGGAUUGUAAAGCACUUUAAGUUGGGAGGAAGGGCAGUAAGCGAAUACCUUGCUGUUUUGACGUUACCGACAGAAUAAGCACCGGCUAACUCUGUGCCAGCAGCCGCGGUAAUACAGUGGGUGCAAGCGCUAAUCGGAAUUACUGGGCGUAAAGCGCGCGUAGGUGGUUCGUUAAGUUGAAUGUGAAAGCCCCGGGCGCAACCUGGGAAAUGCAUCCAAGACUGGCGAGCUAGAGUAGGGCAGAGAGUGGUGGAAUUUCCUGUGUAGAGGUGAAAUGCGUAGAUAUAGGAAGGAACACCAGUGGGGAAAACGACCACCUGGGGUCAUACUGACACUGAGGUGCGAAAACGUGGGGAGCAAACAGG
rnacentral:rRNA from 1 species